rnacentral:rRNA from 1 species
CCUACGGGAGGCAGCAGUGAGGAAUAUUGGUCAAUGGGCGCGAGCCUGAACCAGCCACGUAGCGUGAAGGAUGGCUGCCCUACGGGUUGUAAACUUCUUUUAUACAGGAAUAAAGUGAGGCGCGUGUGCCUUUUUGUAUGUACUUUAUGAAUAAGGAUCGGCUAACUCCGUGCCAGCAGCCGUGGUAAUACGGAGGAUCCGAGCGUUAUCCGGAUUUAUUGGGUGUAAAGGGAGCGUAGAUGGGUUGUUAAGUCAGGUGUGAAAGGUUGCGGCUCAACCGUAAAAUUGCAAUUGAUACUGGCAGUCUUGAGUACAGUUGAGGUAGGCGGAAUUCGUGGUGUAGCGGUGAAAUGCUUAGAUAUCACGAAGAACUCCGAUUGCGAAGGCAGCUUACUAAACUGCCACUGACAUUGAUGCUCGAAAGUGUGGGUAUCAAACAGGAUUAGAUACCCGAGUAGUC